AACUUUUUACAACGGGUCACUUGGCUCUCGCGUCGAUUAAGAACGCAGCGAAACGCGAAAUGUAAUGUGAAUUGCAGAACCCCAGUGAAUCAUCGAAUCUUUGAACGCACCUUGCGCUCUCUGGCAUUCCGGAGAGCAUGCCUGUUUGAGUGUCGCGCAUCUCUCAACCCCCUUACGUUUGUAGGCGUGGGUUGGACCGUGGUUGUCUGGUCGCUCCUAGUGAGCGGCCCGGCCGAAAUAUACAUUGAGCAGAAUCGUGGCCCGAUGCGGCUUGACCAAGUGUUGUAGUGUCGUGCAACUGCACUUGGGACGUGGCGGAUCCCGCGGCUCUGCGCCCGGCGACUUUCAAAUAUCGACCUCAAAUCAGGCAGGACUACCCGCUGAACUUAAGCAUAUCAAUAAGCGGAGGCU
rnacentral:misc_RNA from 1 species